UCUCUCUCUCUCUCUCUCUUUCCCUCUCUGUGAUUCUCGACUACUCCGGCGGGGGAUGGCUUGGUGGGAUCGGGUGGCAUCACCGAUGAGGAAGGUCUGGGCUGGCGUCGCCACCCGCGUCGGCAUUCGCAAAUCCGGGCUGCUGCGGCUGAGGCAGGAAGUGAGCACGUGCGAGUACGAGGACGUGCGCGUGCUGUGGGAACUGCUGACCGAAUCACAAUGCCGACGGCGGCGACGAGGGGGAUGAGACGCCGGGGAGACGGGUCGCACGCUUUGGGGCGGGCUCGCAUCGGCUUCUGCCGCAGCCUCUAGACUCGUCGCACUCGUGCCGGCAUCGUGAUUCGGUUUCUUUACUUGGGUGGCCUCUUUGUAAAUACCACCGGCUCAUAUAAUAUAAUACAGUAGUAGUAUAUAAUAAAUGGCCUCAUAGUUAGUUACUCA